GCUCCCGUAGUAUAGCCCGGUCAAGUAUGUCGGGUUUUCGACCCGAAGACAGGGGUUCGAAUCCCCUCGGGAGCG
rnacentral:tRNA from 1 species